rnacentral:piRNA from 1 species
UGACAGAGACAUUUUACUUACACUUGGGA